AACGAACGCUGGCGGCAUGCCUAACACAUGCAAGUCGAACGAGACCUUCGGGUCUAGUGGCGCAUGGGUGUGUCACGCGUCGGAACCUUCACGUAUGUUCGGAAUAACUCUCCGACAGGGGUGCUAAUACAGGAUAAUGUCUUCUAACCAAAGAUAUAUCGCCUUUGGAUGGGCACGCGUUGGAUUAGCUUGUUGGUAGGGUAAAAGCCUACUAAGGCGAGGAUCCAUAGCUGGGUUGAGAGGAUGAGCAGCCACGCUGGGACGAGGACCCGGCCCAGACUCCUACGGGAGGCGGCAGUGGGGAAUAUAGGACAAUCGGCGAAAGCAUGAUCCAGCAAUGCCGCGUGAGUGAUGAAGGCCUUAGAGAAGUAAAGCUCGUUUACCCGGGAUGAUAAUGACAGUACCGAGAGAAUAAGCUCCGACUAACUCCGUG
rnacentral:rRNA from 1 species